UACAGAGGUCUCAAGCGUUGUUCGGAUUCAUUGGGCGUAAAGGGUGCGUAGGCGGCGCGGCAAGUCGGGUGUGAAAUCUCGGGGCUUAACUCCGAAACUGCAUUCGAUACUGCCGUGCUUGAGGACUGGAGAGGAGACUGGAAUUUACGGUGUAGCGGUGAAAUGCGUAGAUAUUCGCAAGAACACCUGUGGCGAAGGCGGCUCACUGGCCCGAUACUGACGCUGAGGUGCGAAAGCGUGGGGAGCAAACAGG
rnacentral:rRNA from 1 species